rnacentral:rRNA from 1 species
AGUGAACGCUGGCGGUAGGCCUAACACAUGCAAGUCGAACGGCAGCACAGUAAGAGCUUGCUCUUACGGGUGGCGAGUGGCGGACGGGUGAGGAAUACAUCGGAAUCUACUUUUUCGUGGGGGAUAACGUAGGGAAACUUACGCUAAUACCGCAUACGACCUACGGGUGAAAGCAGGGGAUCUUCGGACCUUGCGCGAUUGAAUGAGCCGAUGUCGGAUUAGCUAGUUGGCGGGGUAAAGGCCCACCAAGGCGACGAUCCGUAGCUGGUCUGAGAGGAUGAUCAGCACACUGGAACCGGGGAACGGGUCAGGCCUCUUAUGGAGGCAGCAGUGGGGAAUAUUGGACAAUGGGCGCAAGCCUGAUCCAGCCAUACCGCGUGGGUGAAGAAGGCCUUCGGGUUGUAAAGCCCUUUUGUUGGGAAAGAAAAGCAGCAGGUUAAUACCCCGCUGUUCUGACGGUACCCAAAGAAUAAGCACCGGCUAACUUCGUG